GCCCAGGUAGCUCAGUUGGUAGAGCAGCGGACUGAAAAUCCGCGUGUCGGUGGUUCGAAUCCGCCCCUGGGCA
rfam:Methyloceanibacter caenitepidi DNA, complete genome, strain: Gela4.